rnacentral:rRNA from 1 species
GGAAUCUUGCACAAUGGGCGAAAGCCUGAUGCAGCCAUGCCGCGUGAGUGAAGAAGGCCCUAGGGUUGUAAAGCUCUUUCAGUGGUGAAGAUAAUGACGGUAGCCACAGAAGAAGCCCCGGCUCACUCCGUUCCCGCCGCCGCGGUAAUACGGAGGGGGCUAGCGUUGUCCGGAAUUACUGGGCGUAAAGCGCACGUAGGCGGAAGACCAAGUUGGGGGUGAAAGCCCGGGGCUCAACCCCGGAAUUGCCUCCAAAACUGGUCUUCUCGAGUCCGGGAGAGGUGAGUGGAAUUCCUAGUGUAGAGGUGAAAUUCGUAGAUAUUCGGAGGAACACCAGUGGCGAAGGCGGCUCACUGGCUCGAUACUGACGCUGAGGUGCGAAAGCGUGGGGAGCAAA